AUUGGAACCACCUGAUCCCAUCCCGAACUCAGUAGUGAAACGAUGCAUCGCCGAUGGUAGUGUGGGGCUUCCCCAUGUGAGAGUAGGUCAUCGUCAAGA
rnacentral:rRNA from 1 species